GGGGAAGAGAAUUAUUGACCUUAAGUUUGCAUUUAAACAUAUCAAACAAUCUUAAGGACAACAAUUUCGUUAGUACGUCUGUUAUCUGACCCAAUACUAGAAUAUUAAGCACAUAGGGUUCUUUAUCGUUGACCAUCUCCCGAAGUGAAUGUAAGUCCGAUUCGAGAUGUUUGCACCUGCUAUGUAAUACUGGGUUAGCUGCUAGCAUACAUGCACUUUGGUUAUCGCAAUACAUCGUUGGUGCAAUCACUUGAGGAACUCCAAGCUCACUUAGCAGUUGUUCCAGCGACACUAAUUCAGACUGAACAGAGGCCAUUGCUCAGUAUUCUACCUCAGUGCUGUUAUAUAAGAUUCAAGACCAAAUAGACACAGUAGCCUGUGACGGAUCUCCGAUCAUCAAUAUCACUCGUCCAAUCAGCAUCUGCAAAAUCCAAGAGUCUAAAGUCGAAGCAUUUUGAGAACACAAUUCUUUUACUCACUGUACCUUUCAAAUAACGCAAUGUUCGCUUUACUUCCUUCCAGUGCUUGUAGGUAGGACUAUGCAUAAAUGGUGAAACUUUAUUCAUUGAGAAUGCAAGCUCUGGUCUCGUCAUGGUCAAAUACUAGAGAGAUCCUACUAUGGUGCAAUACAAUUGCGGAUCAAAACACAGCUCAGAGUCAUUGGCAUAGAGUUCAUAUUUCCAACCACUAGAGUAGGCAUAGUAUUUGCAGUUUCCAUGUUAGCCUUCCGCAAAAUGUCCAUGGCAUACUUUUGCUGAGACAAAUGUAUGCUUCCCCCUGCAAAUAGUUAAACUCUAUUCCAAGAAAAAAACUAAGAUCACCAAGGUUUUUAAGAGGAAACAUUGUAUUAAGUUGUUUAAUUAACAUAUCAAUCUGAGUAGCAUUAUUGCCAGUAACCAUAAUGUCAUCUAUAUACAUAAGCAUGUAGAUUACUGACUUUGGAUUUUUUCUCACAAAAAGAGAAACAUCAGACCGGGUACUCACAAAACCAAACGUUGCUAAUGUGUCUUUGAGUGUUAAGUACCAGGUCCUAGGUGUCUGUUUUAAGCCAUAUAAUGCCCUGUUCAGUUUGCACACCAAAUGAAGAUUGAAGUCCUCAUAGCCUUGUGGUUGAGUCAUAAACACCUGUUCCAUCAAAAUUCUAUUUAAAAACUCUUUAUUAAAAUUAAAUUGACGUAAGACCCAACCUUGAGUGAUAGCUAAGGUGAGGACAACUUGAACAGAAGUUGGUCUAAUCACAUGGCUAUAAAAUUGCUCAUAAUUUAUUCCCUCGCUUUGGUGAAAACCUUUGGUGACUAACCGAACUUUAUAGCGAAUAAUAUCUCAUCUAGUGUUCCUUUUAAUUACAAAGACCCAAUUACUACCAAUUAUAGUAGCAUUGGGUGAGGGUGUAACUAAAUUUUAUGUAUUGCACUACUUUAAUGUCUUAAAGUCAGCAUUCAUUGUCUCUUUCCAAUGAGGAGUUUGAAGAGCUUGAGUGAUAGUCCUAGGCACUUGUUGCUUAAGAUCAACCUCAGUGUGUGUAAUAGGCUUUGGAUUUGUAUAUGCCAGCCUUAGCCUUUGUCACUAUAGUGUGUGUAUUAGUGGUGGGUUGAGGAAUUUGAUUAGAGAGGUGAUCAUGUCCUUGAUCAAUGUCUUCCUUCUGUGUUGGUGCUAUAGUGUCAGGUACAAGAUUAUUGACUUGAUUUGUGUCAUGAUCAAAUGCCACUUCAAUUGUUGAGUUAUCUACAUAGGUCCCAUUGUUAUGUGUAUGUUCAGAUGGUAAGUGUGUUGAUAUUGUAGUAUUUGGAAUGCUAGAUAUUGGAUAUAAUCUAUAAUAUGCAUCAUAAACAUAGUUAGGAGAAGAUUAGUGUUAGUCAUUCUAUUGGAAAUAUUUGGAAACAUAUCACUAUAAGGAAAGUUAAGUUCAUCGAAUAUAACAUGUCGAGACAUAUGCACUCUUACAGAUUUACUCAUACAUUUAUAUCCGUGAAAUUGAGUGUCAUAUCCUAAAAAUAAGCAUUUUUCCGAUUUAUAUUCAAGUUUAUGCUUAUUAUAGGGUCUAAGAUAAAGGAAACAAAAGCAUCCAAACACUUUUAAUACAAUGUGAUAUGGUUUCUUAUUAUAUAGUUUUUCAAAUGGUGCCACUAGGUAAUCUAUUCAUUAUAUAAACUGCAGCAAUAACAGCAUCUUCCCAGAAACUCAUGGGAAGAGAUAUUAUUGCCAAUAGAGAAAGACCAAUUUCUACUAUGCUUACAUCUCCUUUCUACACUCCCCAUUUGUUGAGGCGUGUAGGGGCGUGAUAGUCUAUGCUUAAUGCCCUAUUCAUUUAAAAAGUUAGUGAAAGCAAUGGAUAAAACUCUUUACCAUUAUC